rnacentral:rRNA from 1 species
GUCCAGACUCCUACGGGAGGCAGCAGUGGGGGAUAUUGGACAAUGGGGGGAACCCUGGUCCAGCGACGCCGCGUGAGUGAAGAAGUAUCUCGGUAUGUAAAGCUCUAUCAGCAGGGAAGAAAGAAAUGACGGUACCUGAGUAAGAAGCCCCGGCUAACUACGUGCCAGCAGCCGCGGUAAUACGUAGGGGGCAAGCGUUAUCCGGAUUUACUGGGUGUAAAGGGAGCGUAGACGGCCAGACAAGUCAGAAGUGAAAGCCCAGGGCUCAACCCUGGGACUGCUUUUGAAACUGCCGGGCUGGAGUGCAGGAGAGGUAAGCGGAAUUCCUAGUGUAGCGGUGAAAUGCGUAGAUAUUAGGAGGAACACCAGUGGCGAAGGCGGCUUACUGGACUGUAACUGACGUUGAGGCUCGAAAGCGUGGGGAGCAAACAGGAUUAGAUACCCGUGUA